GACAGAGGGUGCAACCGUUGUUCGGAAUUACUGGGCGUAAAGCGUGUGUAGGCGGCUUUGCAAGUCGGAUGUGAAAGCCCCGGGCUCAACCCGGGAAGUGCACUCGAUACUGCAGGGCUUGAGUGUGGGAGAGGUUGGUGGAAUUCUCGGUGUAGAGGUGAAAUUCGUAGAUAUCGAGAGGAACACCGGCGGCGAAGGCGGCCAACUGGACCACUACUGACGCUGAGGUGCGAAAGCGUGGGGAGCAAACAGG
rnacentral:rRNA from 1 species